CCAGCAUCUGACAUCGUCACAGGGGGCCCGGUAGCGUUGUUAAAGCACUCCAGCGCUGACCGGGCCCCCUGAAAAUACUUUGCCAUCAGGCGGUCCAUGGUCCCCUGAACGCUUGGCCCCAGUUGUUGUACUGCGCGGAUAGGACCCGCACCACAUGGCCGGCAGGCACCCCGGUCACAGGGGUCCACAGGGCAGCCAGCCCUGUCGAAGCAGCGACCCCUGCGACCGCAGUAGUUUUGCCACUAAGGGCUCCAUAUUUCAAAUCCAAUACUAGUCAGGCCUAGAAGUUAAGCGCCACUGCAAGCUUGGUGGGCACACUCAUCGGGGUGAAUUUUCACUCACCAAAGGCUAGUGGGCAGGUAAGAAUUCUGAGCACAUAGCAAAACUCUCAGUUACAAACAUAGAAAAGACCAGAAAACACACAGAGAAUUCUUUAUACAUCUAAACACUGCUUUUUCACCUCCUCCUUUCAUGCCCA